rnacentral:rRNA from 1 species
GACGAACGCUGGCGGCGUGCUUAACACAUGCAAGUCGAACGCUGAAGCCCUUCGGGGUGGAUGAGUGGCGAACGGGUGAGUAACACGUGGGUAAUCUGCCCUGCACUCUGGGAUAAGCCUUGGAAACGGGGUCUAAUACCGGAUAGGACACAUCGCCGCAUGGUGUGUGUGUGGAAAGUUCCGGCGGUGCAGGUUGAGCCCGCGGCCUAUCAGCUUGUUGGUGGGGUGAUGGCCUACUAAGGCGACGACGGGUAGCCGGCCUGAGGGGGUGACCGGCCACACUGGGACUGAGACACGGCCCAGACGCCUACGGGAGGCAGCAGUGGGGAAUCUUGCGCAAUGGGCGAAAGCCUGACGCAGCAACGCCGCGUGGGGGAUGACGGCCUUCGGGUUGUAAACCUCUUUCGACCGGGACGAAGGAUUCGUUUGACGGUACCGGUAGAAGAAGCACCGGCUAACUACGUGCCAGCCGCCGCCGUAAAAC